rnacentral:lncRNA from 1 species
AUAGAGCCAGGCUCCCUGAUAUUUGUUUAAUCGACUCUUUUGCUACUAUUGAACUGCUGUGGUGUAUAAGUAACAAGAGAUGAAAACAAAGCUAAACAAGGAUAAGCUAUUGGUUUUAUUGUCUGCUAUUGUUUCUGUGGCUUAGGCCUAAGUUACCGUGUUUUGAGGGGAGGGACUCUGAGCUGCACACGUGUUCACUGUUGGCUGACUAACCUGGAGUUGUUUCAUUGCAGAGAGGCUGGCUGUGGCAGAUGCAACUGCAGGAUGACUUGAAAGUAGGGCAUCCUUCACCCAUCUGAAGGGAGGAAAUAGUGGCAGGUGACAGUCUGCAUGUGCAGUUUUCAGAUGCCUUCACCUGAAUGACAUCUACCUCCAUCAGGACCCCAGAUGUCUGACAGCCCUGUGUGACACCAAGAUAAGUAACAAUCUGGCUGCUGACUACCCUAUUGGACAACUCCAAUAUUAGAGAACAUUUCCACCAAU